rnacentral:rRNA from 1 species
GCCCUUCGGGGUGGAUUAGUGGCGAACGGGUGAGUAACACGUGGGCAAUCUGCCCUUCACUCUGGGACAAGCCCUGGAAACGGGGUCUAAUACCGGAUAACACCGGCCUUCGCAUGGAGGCUGGUUGAAAGCUCCGGCGGUGAAGGAUGAGCCCGCGGCCUAUCAGCUUGUUGGUGGGGUAAUGGCCCACCAAGGCGACGACGGGUAGCCGGCCUGAGAGGGCGACCGGCCACACUGGGACUGAGACACGGCCCAGACUCCUACGGGAGGCAGCAGUGGGGAAUAUUGCACAAUGGGCGAAAGCCUGAUGCAGCGACGCCGCGUGAGGGAUGACGGCCUUCGGGUUGUAAACCUCUUUCAGCAGGGAAGAAGCGAAAGUGACGGUACCUGCAGAAGAAGCGCCGGCUAACUACGUGCCAGCAGCCGCGGUAAUACGUAGGGCGCAAGCGUUGUCCGGAAUUAUUGGGCGUAAAGAGCUCGUAGGCGGCUUGUCACGUCGGGUGUGAAAGCCCGGGGCUUAACCCCGGGUCUGCAUCCGAUACGGGCAGGCUAGAGUGUGGUAGGGGAGAUCGGAAUUCCUGGUGUAGCGGUGAAAUGCGCAGAUAUCAGGAGGAACACCGGUGGCGAAGGCGGAUCUCUGGGCCAUUACUGACGCUGAGGAGCGAAAGCGUGGGGAGCGAACAGGAUUAGA